AAUUGUCAGGGCGAUCUGGCUGCGACAUCUGUCACCCUAUUGAUCACCAGGGUUGAUUUGGCUGAUCUGGCUGGCUAGGCGGGUGUCCCCUUUCUCCCUCAUCGCUCCAUGUAGGUCCCUCCCGAAGCUGCGCGCUUGGUGAAAGAGGACGACCAUCCCAGAUAGAAGGAGUGUACCAAUCUUCGGUCAAGGGUAUAUGAUAGCUGCGCUCCUCUGCUAGAACCUCCAAACAAGCUCAAGGUCCCUUUGGCAAUCUUCUGACAAGCAGAGUCAAUGGGGAAGCCAGAUUCACUUCACAACCAUGUUACU
rnacentral:snRNA from 1 species